UAAGUUACUUGGCAGGGGAGAUACCAUGAUCAUGAAGGUGGUUUUCCCCAGGACAAGGCUUAUCCAUUGUACUCCAGAUGUGCUGACACCUGCGACUUCCCCAAAUGUGGGAAACUAUAAUUUGUAGUAGUGGGAGACUGCAUUCGUGCUCUCCUCUCA
rnacentral:snRNA from 1 species